rfam:Pteropus alecto contig54239, whole genome shotgun sequence.
GUCUACAGCCAUGCUACCCUGGACAAGCCUGAUCCCAUCUGAUCUCGGAAGCUAAGCAGGGUCGGGCCUGGUUAGGACUUGGAUGGGAGACCACCUAGGAAGAUCAGGUGCUGUAGGUG